UGCAGCUCCAGAGGAUUUGAUAUAGCGAUUAUCACAACCCUACGUCUGCUUUCGCCGAUCACCCGCUGGUCAUCUAGUAUUUUUGUAAGAGGACAGCUGGCAACCAUAUCACUUGACCUGGAACAAACUGAGAUCCGUGCACCUUUGACUUCAUCGAUCUUGAUCCCAUGUUCAUUCAACACUAGCAACCCAGCUGAGCUGCCCAAAUAUAUUUUUAUGGAAUGGACAUUUACCCCAGAGGACAGCAAUGAAUCCAGGCCAAUUAUUAUGAUUUAUACAACCAGUAUGGAGCAGGUUAUGGCGCCCAACAAUAGGGUUCAAGCAUUUAGAGAUGCUCUCAUCACUGGAAAUUGCUCUAUUUUUUUUUUUUUUUUUAAUUCUUUUUAAUAGCCAGACACAGAUACAACAGAAACAAACGGCAAGUUCAGCUGCACGGUCAAUGACAUAGGCAUGGUACAUGACAACAUAUACAUCAUUGUGAUCCAAGACUCCUGAAGUAUGACAUGGAGGAGCGCUCUAACAAUGUUAAUCUCGAGGAUAAGUAGGAGCUGGUGGACUCUUGAUCUUCAUCAUAUUAGGAGUAUCUGUUUGUACAGUGUGUGCUGGGUAAGUUAACUUAGUAAAUUAUAUGGAUAGAUAAAGAUAAUAAUAUAAUGAACGGUUUAAUAGAAGUCACUACAAAUGAUCACGCACUAAUUAUUUAAAACCUUUCUCUACAGCUGCAAAUAUUUUAAAUUAAAGACACAGAUGAAGGAUCUUAUGCUGAGGAUGGAAGAGGGGCACCAAGCAAGUGAUGAGGAAGAAAGUAGCUCAACAUCACAAAGCGAUUCCUCAACAGAAGACUCUACGUUUUAGACAAUGUUUAUUUUAUAAAAUCAUUAUCUGUGUGUUUUAAUUUAGUUAUCAAGUGCUUUAAAUAAACUUUUCACUUGAUUUCA